AGGGUGGAUGCCUCUACUCAGGUCUCUAGGACCACAUUUCUCUCCCCUACUUUUGAGGCCAGUUGUUCUUACACCAGCACCCAGAGGGUGAUGACUCAUGAUUGUUCUCUGUUUCCUGUUGUUAACCUGUCACCUUGAAUUAAGCAUGGAGAAUCGGCCUGAUUGGUGGCUGGCAGCGCUCUUACAAGCAGUGAGGGAGAGAACGCAUGAAAAUCAAGCCCACCCAAAGGAAGAGAGAGUGACCAACCUCGAUGACAUGAUGGAGCCUGUCUUCCCCUGUGCCAAAGGCCAUGUCUUUAACAAGACAGUUAAGAUACCCAAGACACACAUUGUUUUUUGUAAUAAAAUAAAUUCAAACUUGGCUUUCUGUCACUUGCAACUAAAAGAAUCCUAAAUGAUUCAGGGCCCAACUCCCAGAAGAAUGUAUUCUCUGCCCAUCCACCAGGGUAGACAGUUUCUGACAUUUUAAAGGCAA
ensembl:lncRNA